rnacentral:rRNA from 1 species
CACCGGCGGCUCGAGUGGUGGCCACUUUUAUUGGGUCUAAAGCGUCCGUAGCCGGCUUGGCAAGUCCCCUGGGAAAUCUGGCGGCUUAACCGUCAGGCGUCCAGAGGAUACUGCCAGGCUUGGGACCGGGAGAGGUGAGAGGUACCUCAGGGGUAGGGGUGAAAUCUUGUGAUCCCUGAGAGACCACCAGUGGCGAAGGCGUCUCACUAGAACGGGUCCGACGGUCAGGGACGAAAGCUGGGGGCACGAACCGG